rnacentral:rRNA from 1 species
UACGGAGGGAGCUAGCGUUGUUCGGAAUUACUGGGCGUAAAGCGCACGUAGGCGGCUUUGUAAGUCAGCGGUGAAAGCCUGGAGCUCAACUCCAGAACUGCCUUUGAGACUGCAUCGCUUGAAUCCAGGAGAGGUGAGUGGAAUUCCGAGUGUAGAGGUGAAAUUCGUAGAUAUUCGGAAGAACACCAGUGGCGAAGGCGGCUCACUGGACUGGUAUUGACGCUGAGGUGCGAAAGCGUGGGGAGCAAACAGG